UGAGGAAUAUUGGUCAAUGGGAGAGAUCCUGAACCAAGCCAAGCCGCGUGAGGGAAGACGGCCCUAUGGGUUGUAAACCUCUUUUGUCGGAGAACAAAACCCGGGACGUGUCCCGGACUGCGUGUAUCCGAAGAAAAAGCAUCGGCUAACUCCGUGCC
rnacentral:rRNA from 1 species